rnacentral:rRNA from 1 species
AGUGAACGCUGGCGGUAGGCCUAAUACAUGCAAGUCGAACGGCAGCACAGUAAGAGCUUGCUCUUACGGGUGGCGAGUGGCGGACGGGUGAGGAAUACAUCGGAAUCUACUUUUUCGUGGGGGAUAACGUAGGGAAACUUACGCUAAUACCGCAUACGACCUACGGGUGAAAGCAGGGGAUCUUCGGACCUUGCGCGAUUGAAUGAGCCGAUGUCGGAUUAGCUAGUUGGCGGGGUAAAGGCCCACCAAGGCGACGAUCCGUAGCUGGUCUGAGAGGAUGAUCAGCCACACUGGAACUGAGACACGGUCCAGACUCCUACGGGAGGCAGCAGUGGGGAAUAUUGGACAAAGGGCGCAAGCCUGAUCCAGCCAUACCGUGUGGGUGAAGAAGGCCUUCGGGUUGUAAAGCCCUUUUGUUGGGAAAGAAAAGCAGCAGGUUAAUACCCCGCUGUUCUGACGGUACCCAAAGAAUAAGCACCGGCUAACUUCGUG